rnacentral:rRNA from 1 species
AAGUGGCGAAAGGGGCAGUAAGGCGUAGGUAACCUACCUCGGGGAUGGGGAUAGCCUUUCUAACGAAAGGGUAAUACCCGGCGAUCUGGCGGGACGGCAUCGCCCUGCCAGGAAACGAAUCUCGCCUCGAGAGGGGCUUACGUGGUAUUAGCUUGUUGGUGAGGUAACGGCUCACCAAGGCCAAGAUGCCUAGCGGGUGUGAGAGCACGACCCGCGCCACUGGCACUGCGACACUGGCCAGACUCCUACGGGAGGCUGCAGUCGAGGAUCUUCGGCAAUGGGCGCAAGCCUGACCGAGCGACGCCGCGUGUGCGAUGAAGGCCUUCGGGUUGUAAAGCACUGUCGAGGGGGAGAAAAGCCCGCAAGGGUCUGAUCUAUCCCUGGAGGAAGCACGGGCUAAGUUCGUGCCAGCAGCCGCGGUAAGACGAACCGUGCGAACGUUGUUCGGAAUCACUGGGCUUAAAGGGCGCGUAGGCGGGCCAUCAAGUCCGUGGUGAAAUACUUCGGCUUAACCGGAGAAGUGCUGCGGAUACUGGUGGUCUUGAGUGGGGUAGGGGCAUGUGGAACUUCCGGUGGAGCGGUGAAAUGCGUAGAUAUCGGAAGGAACGCCGGUGGCGAAAGCGACGUGCUGGACCCCUUCUGACGCUGAGGCGCGAAAGCCAGGGGAGCAAACGGGAUUAGAUACCCCGGUAGUCCUGGCCCUAAACGAUGGGUACUGGAUUGUGGGUUUACAUGGACUCACAGUCGGA